rnacentral:rRNA from 1 species
AGCGAACGCUGGCGGCAGGCUUAACACAUGCAAGUCGAACGCCCGUAGCAAUACGGGAGUGGCAGACGGGUGAGUAACGCGUGGGAACAUGCCCUUUGGUUCGGAAUAACUCAGGGAAACUUGAGCUAAUACCGGAUAAGCCCGAGAGGGGAAAGAUUUAUCGCCGAAGGAUUGGCCCGCGUCCGAUGAGCUAGUUGGUGAGGUAAUGGCUCACCAAGGCGACGAUCGGUAGCUGGUCUGAGAGGAUGAUCAGCCACACUGGGACUGAGACACGGCCCAGACUCCUACGGGAGGCAGCAGUGGGGAAUAUUGGACAAUGGGGGCAACCCUGAUCCAGCCAUGCCGCGUGAGUGAUGAAGGCCCUAGGGUUGUAAAGCUCUUUCGGCGGGGACGAUAAUGACGGUACCCGCAGAAGAAGCCCCGGCUAACUUCGUGCCAGCCGCCGCGGUAA